rnacentral:rRNA from 1 species
GAUGAACGCUGGCGGCGUGCCUAACACAUGCAAGUCGAACGGAAAGGCCCUGUUAUUGUGGGGUGCUCGAGGGGCGAACGGGUGAGUAACACGCGAGUAACUUGCCCUUGACUUUGGGAGAACUUCAGGGAACUUAGGCUAAUACCGGAUAGGAGCUCACGCUGCAUGGUGGGGGUUGGAAAGUUUCGGCGGUUGGGGAUGGACUCGCGGCUUAUCAGCUUGGUGGUGGGGUAGUGGCUUACCAAGGCAUUGACGGGUAGCCGGCCUGAGAGGGUGACCGGCCACGUUGGGACGGGGAUGCGGCACAGACUCCUACGGUAGGCAGCGGUGGGGAAUAUUGCACAAUGGGCGGAAGCCAGAUGCAGCACCGCCGCGUGCGGGAUGACGGCCUUCGGGUUGUAAACCGCUGUCGCCUGUGACGAAGAGUGAGUGACGGUAAUGGGUAAAGAAGCACCGGCUAACUACGUG